GGACAGAUGGCCGAGUUGGUAAGCCACGAUUUCCGUUCCUGGUCACGAAAGUGGCGUGGGUUCGAGUCCCACUCUGUUCA